UACGUAGGGGGCUAGCGUUAUCCGGAAUUACUGGGCGUAAAGGGUGCGUAGGCGGUCUUUCAAGCCAGAAGUGAAAGGCUACGGCUCAACCGUAGUAAGCUUUUGGAACUGUAAGACUUGAGUGCAGGAGAGGAGAGUGGAAUUCCUAGUGUAGCGGUGAAAUGCGUAGAUAUUAGGAGGAACACCAGUAGCGAAGGCGGCCUGCUGGACAUUUACUGACGCUGAGGCUCGAAAGUGUGGGGAGCAAACAGGAUUAGAUACCCCCGUAGUCCCUGA
rnacentral:rRNA from 1 species